AGUAAGCCCACAAUCCAGCACACUGCCCGCGUCCUGCGAGAUAAUGCUCGAGCUCGAAGCCGCCGCACGCCGCCGCUGAAUGCCUGAAUCCCAAUCCCCCCUUCCGAGCUCCGACUGCUCCCGGCUCCACUCCGGAGCUGCCGCGCCCACCUUGCCAGCAAGCUCCCGCACCUCCAGCUACUGGCGCCGACGCGGCAUCUCCCUGACCCCCUCCCCGCACCCCCUGCACCUUCUGCUCCAGCGCGGCAGCGCCUGCAACCUCUUCCACGCCGGCGUUGGUGGAGCUGAUACACGAGGCACGGCGGCGUAGGCGAGAGGACUGGGAGAGAGUGUGUGGACUUCGUUCGGAGAGGUGGUCGCUUGGCGCUGCUCCUGCUCGACAGCUCGAGCAAGAGAAAAUGAAGCAAUUUUUUGGAUUGAGCAUGAAGAAAAAGGUUGGGAUCGACUAAACAAAGUGAAGAGUUUAAAUCCAAAUUGAUAAUAUGUCGGGAAAAAAACAAGACAGAGAUGGGUGUGGUAGAACCAAACAUACCACUUUAGAGUUGAUGCCGUAAUAUGACACAAUCAGCUGAGCCUUCUUUUGUUAGUGGUCGCACAGAUUGCCAUGGGAUGGAACUAUAAGAAAGAACAGAUAGCCGUCGUUGAUGGUCAACUUUCGGAACAUGAAUGAGGUGGCCCUAUCCGUGCUGGUUGGUGUUACUUAACAACUGCUACCGAGUUGAAUAAAGAUGAUCAUGCCAAACGUUGUACUUAUUUUGUAAGAGCGUCCCUGAUCCAAUGAUUGCAAACGUACAAAAACAUAACAUUAGAUACUACCAACAUGCCUAUAUGUCUCUAUCUCCUCGUGUGAAAUAUAAGACCUGGUCUA